rfam:Bacterium TMED161 isolate TMED161 45029, whole genome shotgun sequence.
AAAAAGGCUCCUUUUGGAGCCUUUUUUAUUUAGGUUUAAAAAUCAU